CUUCCACGGCUUUGCCUUCCUGCAAACGACCCUGACCCGGGGCUGUCCCGGGUACUGCUCUUUAACCCCCUGCUGCUCAGACUCUUCACGCAGCCUAAAAAGACGGCCACGCCUGUAAGUGUCACUUUGCAGAUGUAGAAGCAGAGGCUCAGCAGGGCAGAUCUCCUCCCGAAGUCCCGGGACCAUCAGAGAUGGUUCAUUUUGACCGAGGCCCGUCUGGUGGUUCGUUGCUGUGAUGUAUUUCGGCAUCGUCGACGCAGGUUCACCAGCCUCAUCUCGACCUUGGAAAUGUUGCGGGAUUUUACAGUAUGUGGUGACAUUUAUGGGCCCAUUUGGACACCCACAAAGAGGUUGAUUUCCAUAGAUUAAAUGUCAAGUUUGAAGCCAUCCAGGGUAAUUGAAUCCUUGAAUGUUGUCCACUUCGAUUCUCAGCUGGGGCUGUUGACUGGACAUUUGUGCUCUGUUACAAACUCAUGAGUGCAGCCCAAAUUGC